AAAAACAUUUUUAUUUGGGCAAAAAAAGUAGGGCCUGCCCAGUGAGAAUUAAACGGCUGCGGUAUUUUGACUGUGCUAAGGUAGCAUAAUCAUUUGUUUUUUAAUUGGGAGCUGGAAUGAACGGUUGAGCUGGUUUAGCAGGUGUGUAGGCUUGAAUAGAAAAUUAAAGUCAAGGUAAGAAUUCUUUGAUGGGUUAGGGGACGAUAAGACCCUAAAAGCUUGAUAAGUGUAAUGCUGAUUUUGUGGUUCAAGUAAGUUUAUUUUACUGGGGCGGUACUGUUAUUUAAACUAUUAGUUAGUCAGAGAUCCUUAAAAUAUAGAUAAAACGGGGAAGUUACUUUAGGGGUAACAGUGCAAUAUUUUUGGAGAGAUCUUAUCGAUAGAUAUGUUUGCAACCUCGAUGUUGAAUUAAAAUUUCUACGUGAAGCAGAAGGUAUAGUAGA
rnacentral:rRNA from 1 species